UACGAAGGGGGCUAGCGUUGUUCGGAUUUACUGGGCGUAAAGGGCGCGUAGGCGGGCGACUAAGUCAGGGGUGAAAUCCCAAGGCUCAACCUUGGAACUGCCUUUGAUACUGGUUGUCUUGAGUCCGGGAGAGGUGAGUGGAACUGCGAGUGUAGAGGUGAAAUUCGUAGAUAUUCGCAAGAACACCAGUGGCGAAGGCGGCUCACUGGCCCGGAACUGACGCUGAGGCACGAAAGCGUGGGGAGCAAACAGG
rnacentral:rRNA from 1 species